GCCGUGAGGUGUUGGGUUAAGUCCCGCAACGAGCGCAACCCUCGUCUUUAGUUGCCAUCAUUUAGUUGGGCACUCUAAAGAAACCGCCGGUGAUAAGCCGGAGGAAGGUGGGGAUGACGUCAAGUCCUCAUGGCCCUUACGCGCUGGGCUACACACGUGCUACAAUGGCGGUGACAGUGGGCAGCAAUCCCGCGAGGGUGAGCUAAUCUCCAAAAGCCGUCUCAGUUCGGAUUGUUCUCUGCAACUCGAGAGCAUGAAGGCGGAAUCGCUAGUAAUCGCGGAUCAGCACGCCGCGGUGAAUACGUUCCCAGGCCUUGUACACACCGCCCGUCACACCAUGGGAGUUGGAUUGACCCGAAGGCAGUGAGCUAACCCGCAAGGGAGGCAGCUGACCACGGUCGGUUCAGCGACUGGGGUGAAGUCGUAACAAGGUAGCCGUAGGGGAACCUGCGGCUGGAUCACCUCCUUUCUAAGGAAUAAGGCGUACUGCGCCGGGCUCGUCCCGGAAAUGCGUCGCCCGCUCCAAAGAACAUUAGCCGCCGUCCUCAUGUCCCUUCAUCCUGGAGAUCAGCCUCGCAAGAGGCUGUAAACGCCUGAGCUGGCUUACGCCGCCUGCGGCCAUGUGGCCGGCCGGGCGACGGGGCCGGUAGCUCAGGUGGUUAGAGCGCACGCCUGAUAAGCGUGAGGUCGUAGGUUCAACUCCUACUCGGCCCACCAUUUCUGUGCUGUGCGCGGCACGUUCCCGGCGCAUGGCUUUCAGGGGCCAUAGCUCAGUUGGGAGAGCGCUAGCUUUGCAAGCUUGAGGUCGUCGGUUCGAUCCCGACUGGCUCCACCAGCCCUCACCGGCUGGCUGACAUAUCUCCAGGUAUGAAGACCGAAAUUCGCGGCCCACGGGCCGCGAUGCCGGAGCGGAAACGCUCCUCUUUGACAUUGUGAAUGGGUUCUAGAAAUCGAUGCCGCGGCGGCAUGGGUUUCUUUCGUGCGUUCGGGCGACCGGGCGUGGGGGAGAGGCGCGUGCUGCUGCAAAAUGAUUAUCUAGCUGAGUAGAAGUGGCCGUCCUUUUGGGCGGCUGCGACGGGUAGCGUCUCGAGACAAGCAAGAUCUCGAGGAGGAGCGCCCGGCACUCCGACGACAUUACCGAGUUCCAAAAUUGUCGUUGGUGGUGUGGAUUCUCAAGCGUGAGGUAAGGGCAAUUGGUGGAUGCCUUGGCAUACACAGGCGAUGAAGGACGUGGCACGCUGCGAUAAGCUGCGGUGAGGUGUGAGCAACCUUUGACCCGCAGAUUU
rnacentral:sRNA from 1 species